rnacentral:rRNA from 1 species
UAUAAAAGAACGUAAGUGGAUGCCUUGGCACUAGAAGCCGAUGAAGGACGUUACUAACGACGAUAUGCUUUGGGGAGCUGUAAGUAAGCUUUGAUCCAGAGAUUUCCGAAUGGGGAAACCCAGCAUGAGUUAUGUCAUGUUAUCGAUAUGUGAAUACAUAGCAUAUCAGAAGGCACACCCGGAGAACUGAAACAUCUUAGUACCCGGAGGAAGAGAAAGAAAAUUCGAUUCCCUUAGUAGCGGCGAGCGAAACGGGAAGAGCCCAAACCAACAAGCUUGCUUGUUGGGGUUGUAGGACACUCUAUACGGAGUUACAAAGGACGACAUUAGACGAAUCAUCUGGAAAGAUGAAUCAAAGAAGGUAAUAAUCCUGUAGUCGAA